GACGAACGCUGGCGGCGUGCUUAACACAUGCAAGUCGAACGGUGAUCCCAGGAGCUUGCUUCUGGGUGAGCAGUGGCGAACGGGUGAGUAACACGUGAGUAACCUGCCCCUGACUCUGGAAUAAGCGCUGGAAACGGCGUCUAAUACCGGAUACGAGACGCAACCGCAUGGUUAGUGUCUGGAAAGUUUUUCGGUCUGGGACGGACUCGCGGCCUAUCAGCUUGUUGGUGAGGUAAUGGCUCACCAAGGCGAUGACGGGUAGCCGGCCUGAGAGGGCGAUCGGGCGCACUGGGACUGAGACACGGCCCAGACACCUACGGGAGGCAGCAGUGGGGAAGAUUGCACAAUGGGCGAAAGCCUGAUGCAGCGACGCCGCGUGAGGGAUGACGGCCUUCGGGUUGGAAACCUCUUUCAGCAGGGAAGAAGCGCAAGUGACGGUACCUGCAGAAGAAGCACCGGCUAACUACGUGCCAGCCGCCGCGGUAA
rnacentral:rRNA from 1 species